GGAGGGGUGGCCGAGCGGACGAAGGCGGGGGACUCGAAAUCCCUUGAGCGGGGUGCCCCCCCGCUCCGCGGGUUCGAAUCCCGCCCCCUCCG
rnacentral:tRNA from 2 species